rnacentral:misc_RNA from 1 species
UACAUCUGUUCCCCAUUUUGGUUUCUUUAGUGAAGGUGAAAGAGGAUAAGUUUUUGGAGAUUUGGAAAAUCCAAUCUUCAAUAGGAAAGUUUGAGGUCAAAGUUGAGAGACACUCAGCAAAUAACUACAAUUUCACUGACUUGUAAUAGGAAAAAGCAAAGCAAAGCAGCAUACUUUUUGGUGAAGACUAAGAACACUGACUCAGUCUGUCAUCCAUGCCUUCUUUCAACACUAGAAAAUAUGGACCUCACCCACCAUAACUCGCUAAUAUAGACUCUGGAAUUCCCAGCUAAAUUACUCGGCAAUUACGGCUGUGAUGGCGUAGGAGACGUCGGAGGCCUGAAAUCUGGAUAAGAAGGAUAUGGAGAAAGCGG